rnacentral:rRNA from 1 species
UGGGGAAUUUUGGACAAUGGGGGCAACCCUGAUCCAGCCAUUCCGCGUGAGUGCAGAAGGCCUUCGGGUUGUAAAGCUCUUUUGUCCGGAACGAAACGGUUGAGGCUAAUACUCUCGACUACUGACGGUACCGGAAGAAUAAGCACCGGCUAACUACGUGCCAGCAGCCGCGGUAAUACGUAGGGUGCGAGCGUUAAUCGGAAUUACUGGGCGUAAAGCGUGCGCAGGCGGUUUUGUAAGCCAGAUGUGAAAUCCCCGGGCUCAACCUGGGAAUGGCAUUUGGGACUGCAAGGCUGGAGUGCGGCAGAGGGGGAUGGAAUUCCGCGUGUAGCAGUGAAAUGCGUAGAUAUGCGGAGGAACACCGAUGGCGAAGGCAGUCCCCUGGGCCUGUACUGACGCUCAUGCACGAAAGCGUGGGGAGCAAAC